CGUGGCCUCCCGGCUCUCCAGGUCCUCUGGGAUGUUUGGCGUGGGCCGAGGCGCCUCCUCCUCCUCACUGUCCAGAUGUUCUCCUCCAUCUCCUGUGGGGAGGUGGCCAGAGGGGUCCUCAGACAACCCAACAAGGAAGAGAGAAGCAAUCAGUGGCCAUCCACUGCAGCUGGAGACACCAGACCUUGGUGUCUGCCUCCCAUAUCACCAGGAAGCGUGGAGGCAGGAAGAGGAAGACAGAGCUCUUGCCACAGGGAGGCCGAGAUGGCACAGCAGGAGGCACGCCCCCAGAAUGCCACCAAUGUCCCAGGACAG